AUAAGACUUUGAGAUACCUGCCUGAACACGUCUGUGAAAAACUAUGUUGAAUCGAAAGGAACUGGUUGAAUAGAAGCAGUUUCAAUGGAUCCUGCCUAACAUUUAAACUUCCUCAGAGUGAAGUGUGAUUUUCAGUGCAGAAUAGCAGGUGCUGAACGACUGCAGGAAUAAAUCAGGAAUCUCAAGAGGACCCACAGACCCUCUGAAGGAAACAGACUGCUCCUGCAGGACCCAGGAGACACCCCAAAAACUUGUUGACUGAUCAUUCAAGGGUAUUCGGCUGACAGACGGGUUGGAAUGAAAAGCCCAAAACUAUUUCAGUCACAUGAUGCUUCAUUGGGAAUGGCUGGAAGGCCAGCCUCACCUUGACUCGUCAAGAAGAAUCUCUGCAGGUAACCUCUCCAGCAUGGCAAAGUAACAGGUCCCUGAGAGCAGGGGGACUCUCACUGGGUGCCUCAGAGCUUUAAGAGCAGUGACUUCAGCUAUCACCUCUUGGAUGGGAGGGAUGAAAAAUAUUUUUG